AUAUACAAGGAUAGAAUGACACGGUAGUGAGGUGUCUUUUCGUUGCUCAAGGCGUUGCGAGCGUUAAGUGGACCAAACUAACCAACCAAACGCUAUCGUGGUCACGAAACGAAAAAAACGCCUGUGCCGAAUAGCACUAAUAGCGAGCUCCUCGAACGCACCUUUAGAGGCGCGUUCGAAAACUCUACUCGGGUACUUCUCCUCUCUCUUUAUCUCCCUCCUGUAUCUUUCUCACUCCAAUGCAGCGAGUGCAUCCGGAUAGAGUUUUCGAACGCACGCUAAUAAGCGCUGCGCUGGCAGCUUAAAAAUUGCAGCUUUAAAAUUGUAAGAUUUUCUGCUGAGCUACCAACGGUUUGCGCUUUUCCAAUAUGUUUACUAAGGUCGUUAAGGUUUACUGUGGUCGUUAUUUUUUUUCAAAAGACUUUCAAUAUGCUAGAGGUAAAUAUGUUGUAGUAAAUAUGUUGAAAAAGCAUAAACCGCUAAGUGUCGUUCAGCAGAAAAUUUACGAAUAAAGUGCUUUACACUGGCAGCACAACACAAAGUACUUUUUUUGCUGAACAUAACUAUUAAUUACAUUCAGCAGAAAAAAACACUCUGAAAGGAAAUUAUACGAAUAUUGACAAAACUGCUAGUAAUGUAGUGCAAAACACUUAGCUCCUAUGUAGCAUGUUUCCGUGUAGCAUAAAGUAAGAAGGAAACUCGAGUUCCCAAUACGCAUUGCAAGGCAGUAACAUGCUGACACGUAUACAUGCGGCUCGUGCAGAAGUACAUGUUGAUUAAGAUUUAACGAAAACCAAAGCUAUGGCGAUGUUGAAUUCGAUUCGCUUGAUGCGGAGCAGACUGUCGACGGCCGUCGUCGCGCGUGCUGAAUGUGCAAGUUUAUCAUCAAACGCAUGACGUCGAUAUCGACUUUGGUCUGCGUGCUUUUUCACGCUUGCAUCAACUAAUUCCCAGGCUGUGGAAAUUUCCGUGAAAAUUCAGACAAAGUAUCUAAAAAGGAACAGAAAAAGGAAGAUGCAUAUCUCGUAUUUUUUUCACGAAGUGACUGCAUGAAGGUGGAUCAAGAAAGAAAAAUAUUCGUCGAUUGCAGUAAACGAUUUUAUUAUUGUUAAAUUUCACUUACGAGUAUUCUUUGGCAGUGAGAAUGAAAAACUAAUAGUUAGAAAUCUUUGUAUUAUCAUUUUCGAUACAACGAAGAUGUAUCCGCAAGUUUGGUUGGAAUCUUAACCUCAAACGAAGAGAUCAUUAUGUACAAUAAUAACAAUGCGUGAUGUUUGCAUGUAUGUAUGUACGUGGUAACUUUCUUUGUUAGAAAAGAUGUCGCAGACAUUCGUAACACGUUUCAUCAGCCUCCUAGAGGACCGUAAAACCGAGGAAAUCGUGGAGCUCUUUGCAGCAGAGAACAAUGAACUCAUUGAGGAUGCUUUAAGUGAGAUUGUGCGCAUCGCCAGUGAAUACCUCACAGAAUUCAACGCACAGUCUGAGCAAGAACUGUUUGAGUGCUGUAAGGCUGUAUUGAACACUAUAGCAGAGGCAUACAAUCCUAUGGAAACUGUAUUGGAGUUCUUGCAGUAUAUAGAGUGUUUAGACAAUGAUGUCAAGUUCUGUGCUCUCUUAGAGCCAUUAGGAAUAUGUAUGAUGAAAGGAAAGAACAAAACCAAUGUUAUCGAAUGGUCUGUCAGUACAAUCAAGUCCUAUAUUGAAGAUUUGCCUAUACCCAGUGAAGUUGAUCAAGAAGCAACCAGUUGCAGAAUCAUAAAUGUAUUGGAAACAAUUACAUUGUUCUUGGGACCGUUGGUUGAAGAAGCAGCAGAUAUGAAUUCUAAGCUUGAAGAAACUUGUCUAUUUGGGGAUCAUCUUCUGAGUCUUACUAUCACUUUGUGUGGAAAACCCUUUUGCUACUUGAGCAGAAGUGUCGUUGAAACAGUUAUGUACAAGAAACUCUUAGAAAAAAUCAUGACAUUAGCAUUGAAUCUUACUGGAGAUAUAUUGUACUAUUUAAACAUAGUUAGCAAUUGUAGUAGAAACAUUACCCAUGACAGAGUGCAAAGUGAAUAUUCUGAAGACAAUAUACGCAGUGUGCUGUUCGAGUUAAGUGAUAACAUGUCAGACUUGGCCUAUGCUAAUUUUUAUUUUCAUAUAAUUACUGAAGAAAUAUUUUGGAAAAGCGUACCACAGGUUUACAGUUCUCACUACAUUCUCGAAACAUGCUUGUACCUUUUCAAAGUUUUGUUCAACAAGAAACAGGAAAUUUUAAUCUCAAAUGGAUUGAUCUUCAUGGAGAACGUGAUAAAGCGUAUUUAUCCUCGCUCUGUAUCUUCAGAUGUGUUGGGACUGAGGAUAUAUAAGGAUCUAUUUCAGCUGAUUAUCAGAAUAAUGAUUUAUUGUGACAUCGAUACAAACCGCAAGAAGGCGAGAUGUGUUUUUCAGGAAUACAUCAAGAUAUUUGACAUAGAAGCUAGGUAUUCAGUGAUUUCGCACUUGUACGAGAUCAACGAGCAUUCCGGCGUGCUGAGCCUGAUCACGGGAAUGUUCAAAGCCUCCAUCAUCGAGUGCCUUGAUUCGACUCCUCGAAAUCCCCAUUUCUUCGGCAAAAAUAUGAAAAUAAUGUUGAAGAAGAUUUGCAACUUGCCACAUGGUAGUUCGUCAGAUCUCGUGGAGAUAUCGGACGAGGUGAUAACUGCGCUCAACUUGUUGCGAUUUUUGUUCAUCCGAGAUAAGCGCAAUGAAACCGGCAUUUGGAAUAUGAGGGACACGAUCCAAAGCGACUAUCUGAAGCCGUUAAGGGACGGAAUCGAUUUGUGCAAGACACAUUGGAGAGUGAAGGCGAAGGACUUGGAACGACAAAGGAAGGGCUAUUCUACGGGCGAAAUAGAAAAGGUCAACGCGAUGGUGACAUUGACCGUCGGCGGUAAACAAUUGCCAGUUAUGCCAAUCGCGGAGAAAAUUGCGUUCUGCAAUCAGGCAAUAAACGGACUGGAUGUGAUGGAAAGCAUUCUUAUCAGAGUCAACGAAUGCGUGAGUGAAUACGGAAUUGAACAAGCGAGCGAAUGUACUACUUGAGUAGAAGUGAAAUCGGCCAUGAAGAUACGGAUAAUUGUACAAACACUUUGCUGAUAAAAUUUUAUCGUUACACGGUUUUAGACGUUUAUGGACUUCUAGGGCUUUGCUGGCCGAUCAGUUUGAAAAUGAUAUUAACAAAAAAGCGGAGUCGCAACACACCGCUCGUGAAGAAAGCGACGAGGAGUAUGAAAAAAAUAUCAAAACAAAGAUACUCG